ACCCCACCUUUUAUAAGCCGGCUACUUUAAUUGUUAUAUCCGUAUUGAAGUAGUGUGCUACGGGUGGGAACAAUAAUUCCGAUUGUGUGUAUGAAGUAAAUGUGAUUUAUUCUGUCAUUUAUUUCAAAGAAAUUAUCGGAUACA
rnacentral:snoRNA from 1 species